UCACCCACUUAAAUGCUGGCAGUAACUGGACCUCCUGCUCAGCUGGGUGGGUGCAUUGACUAACAGAAGGGGAUUGUCUGGGCUCCUCCAGGAGCAGAGGGGAGAGGGGUCUAUCCAGGCUGCCUGCUUUGAGCAACUGCCUAACUCCUUCCUCAGUCCCUCGGCCCCACUCACCUCCAGACUGCAGUCUCCUUUUUCAUUUUAAAGACAAAACUUCCCAUCGACAAACAGCAUGUUUAUUUGCAGCUUUUACAGCUAGCAAAUCCUUUGGUACCAGGGAGCGCAGGACCCAGUGGGGGAAGAGUUCAGGCUUGGGCUGAAUGCCCAGGACUCAGCUUUGCAACCAGCCAAGAGCCUGGAGGCCCAACUCCCUGAAAGGGCCUUUUCUGGGUUGCUCUGAUCUGCCUGGUACCCAUAACUGUCUGUGUUUUAUAUUAUGGGCAGACAAACACUCAGAUGACGCAUGGCAGCCCAAGUUAUGCUUGUUUGAAAAUGCGUGGCAUUUCAUAAUCCUGCCGGAACACACUCUUCUUGCUGCAUUAGGAUCCAACUGGAAAACAUAAAGAUGAAUUGCUGUAGGCUGGAAAAUCAAUUAGGAAAAAGAGGUAAAACAUCUGGUGUUACUCUUAGAAUAUGAAAAUUCAUUUUGCACAUUUAAAAUAAAUGUGUUGAGUUGAUUUAAUUGCCUGUUGAACUGUUUCGUGGAAAAUACUGGGAAGUUGCAUUGAUCCUGGGCAUUUUGCAGUAAGGGGCAUUGUCUUGAGUUCUCCUUUAAUCUUAAUCUUUAAUCAAUCUGGAUUGUAUUUCUAAGGUCUUUUUCACGUGAGUUUCAGUAGACUUGGAACUUCAGUUUUCAAAGUCAAGUGUGUAUUAGAAUUACACGGAGGGCUGGUUAAAACACAGAUGGCUGGGCCUAACCCCACAGUUUCUGAUCCAGUAGGUCUGGGCUAGGGCUUAAGAAUUUGAAUUUGUAGCAAGGUUCUAAGUGAUGACAAGCUGCUGGUUGGGACCACACUUUGAGAACUACUGGCUUCGAAUAAGGGAGAGUCCUUGUCAGUGUACAGAGUAGGGAGGUGGUUUCCUAUGAAAAUAGAUUAAAUUCCACAGACUUAUGGUGCUAUGCCCUGCAGUCUUGACUUCCUUACACAACGGAGUACAUAGCUUCCAGAGAGCUUUCCUUCUAAGAUAAGCCACACAUAACUCCUAUCUUCUCUUCCCUACAUUCUUCUGCAAAAAUGGGUUUAAUGCCCUUCUAGAGAUUCAUUUCUUUCUUUCCUUUUUAAGGACUACAGGUGUGCCCAGCUAACUUUUAAAUUUUUUUUUGUAGAGACAAAGUCUUGCUAUUUUGCCCAGGAUGGUCUCGAACUCCAGGGCUCAAGCAGUCCUGUUAUAUCCUCCUCCGAAAGUGUUGGGAUUACAGGUAUGAGCCACCAGGCCCCAACCUAUUUCUGCCAUUCCUGAAUUCAGAAUGCAACAGCACUCUAAUUUAAUCAGCGUUGGCACCUACUUUGUGAACUCUGAUGAGGUGGGAAUACAAAAGCAAUAAAACACAGUCCUCCCCCUCCAGGAGCUCAUUCACAGCCUGGUGGCCCCCUGGCAGUUGCAAGAAGGCAUCCACCAAGACCACAAUUAUAGCAUGAUGUAAUGGAGGCAUUAGGCAAGGGCACGACAGGAGCCUAGGGCACAGGUACCUAUUUUUGCCCGGGAAGAUGGGGAAGGUGUCAUGGAGGAGGAAUCAUUUGAGCUAAAUCUUAAGCAGGAGUGGGUGAUGUGUAGGUGGAAAAAAUCUUGGGGGUGGGGUGGGGAGGGAGAUAAUUGGGCCAUUGGCACAUCGAGGAUACAUACAGCUUCUUUAUGUUACUGUAGGGCCUCGCCUCUGGGAAUAAAGCUGUCUUGGGUGAGAACUACUUUCUACUUUUAGUCCCUCUAGCGUAUAUUUCUUCAGUCAAGAAGAGUGGUAUUACCUAGCCAAGUAAAACACAGCCUCUCCUCUUCGCUCCCUGUUCACAAAACAAGGAGCAUCUAUCUGGCAGGCCAGGAGAGGGGGUUGGUGAUGAAGAUUUCAUUGUUUCCUCUGUGCCUUCCAGGGAUGUGAUUCAGACACAGGACUAGCUUUGUGAUCCCUGUGCUCCGGAGAAACCUCCACCCUGGCCUCAAGGAGGCUGUGAAACCAAAAGGGACCUUGGGUGCCAGCUUGCUGGGUCCUUACUUACUUGGUCCAUCUUCUGGCUGGAAGGAGCACCUGGGCUCUCAGAGUGCCCCCCGACUCUCAGCAGCUCCUUUUCUGGCCCAAGAGGUAAGAGUCUGGAGGACCCCAGUUCAGUUUCUUCCUGUUUAUUCUUUUAUCGUUGACUAUAAGAUUGUGAACCUAGCACAAUGCUAAGAGCUUGAGAUACAGCAGCUAAACAGACAGCCACUAUCCUUACCCUUUUGGAGUUUUUAGCAUAGUGGUGUGCCUAAACAAGUCAUAAUCAUGAUGAUGAUGAGAGGGUAUUACACAGGGCAUGACUACCAGAAGGUGGGCUCAUUGGAAGCCAUUUUAGAAGCAGCUGACCACAGUCUCUCUGGGGCGGGCACCAUUAUCCUCACUUUACUGAUGAGGAAACUGAGCUACACAGGGGUCGAGCAACUUGCCCACGGUCACAAAACUUACACAGGUUUGAACACAGGUAGUCUGGCUCCAGGAAAACAAUCCUACAUGUAUGGUGGGAUUCCAGUUUGAGAAAGCAAACUGCAGUGUGGAGGAUGGAUUAGAGCAGGGAAGCUGGAGGCAGGAAGAUCAGUGAGGAAGACUUUUCCCUGGUUCCAGUAGAGAUGAGAAGGCCUGAACCCAGGUGCAGAUACGGGAAGGAGAUGGCAGGUUGGAAAGAUAUUUAGGAGAAAGAGGGUGUGGGAACCUGAGUGGGAGGCACCAGGGUGAUGCCCAGUACUCUGAUUUGGGUGACUUUGAGGAUGCUGACGCCAUUAUUUAAGAUAAGAAUAAGCAAAAGAUGAGUAGAUUUGUGGGGAGGGUACCCACGAAUUUGGGUACCCACAAAAGAUGAGUAGAUUUGUGGGGAGGGUACCCACAAAAGAUGAGUAGAUUUGUGGGGAGGGACAUAUUUAUUUAAAUAAUGAUGCCAUUAUUUAAGAUAAGAAUAAGCAAAAGAUGAGUAGAUUUGUGGGGAGGGUACCCACAAAUUUGGGUACCCACAAAAGAUGAGUAGAUUUGUGGGGAGGGUACCCACAAAAGGUGAGUAGAUUUGUGGGGAGGGACAUAUUGAGUUUGGUUUUAUAGAUAGUGCAAGGUAUCUCUGCAAAUAGUCACUGUCCUUCUCAACCUCCUUCCCUCCCCCGACCCCCACAUCACAAUAUGUGUACUUUCUCUACAGAGUUAGACUACAGUGUACUGUUCAGCAGGCAGAAAGGCCACAAUCUAUGGAUGAAAGAAGUCCCCCUGCAGGGAGAGGACCUAGUCAGAACAAUCUUCCUAGGAAGAAGAAAAUCCUGGGAUGGGAACUGUGGUCUUAGAAAGCAGACCUUACACAGUGGCUCACACCUGUAAUCCCAGCACUUCAGGAAGCUGAAGUGGGGGCAUUGCUUGAGGCCAGGAGUCGAAGACUAGCCUGGGCAACAUUGUGAGUUCUCAUCUCUACCAAAAUAAAAAAUAAAAAAAGUAUCUGGGCAUGGCAGCAUGUGCCUGUAGUCUCAGCUACUAGGGAGGCUGAGGCAGGAGGAUUGCUUGAGCCUAGGAGUUGGGAGUCUGUGGUGAGAUAUGAGAGCACCACUGUACUCCAGCCUGGGCAACAGAGUGGAGAAUUAAAAAAGAAUUAAAAAAAGACCAGAAACAGCAGAGAAAGGGGGCCUCCUUCCCCUCUCUGUCUGUUUUAUUGAGGGAGAGUCUCACUCUGUCACUCAGGCUGGAGUACAGUGGUACGAUUUUGGCUCACUGCACCCUCAACCUCAACCUGGGCUUAAGCUAUCCUCCC
rnacentral:lncRNA from 10 species